CAAAAACAAAAACAUCAAAAACAAAUAAAGUAGAUUUGAGAAGUAACAAUGGAGGACAAGUGAGUGAAAUAUUCUCUGGAAGUGGAUGUUGGUGAAGGAGGAGAAACAGAGUUUGGCAUUAAAGACGGACAAGAGCGACAGAGGUUGAGUGUGGUGAAGAAAGAGGACCAGAUUUCUGUUGAUAAUCGACGGACAAGAGCAACAGAGGUUAGUCCAUAAUUAAAUGUUGGUUCAAUAAUAGUAACAAACAUUAAAUAGGCCGGUAAAACCUCGGAUGUGGCAUUUAGUAGUGGCGCAGUGGUGGGAAUUUAAGGUUGUUGGUGGUUGAAAUAAAUGUUAACCUUUGAUGUCCAGCAGGAAGAUGGUUCGGGAGAUGGACAAGACGGUUUGUGUUCUAGAAGGAAGAUGGACGUAUUCUACUACAGGUGCGUGGAAGUUUAAAGUCCGUAGUGGACAAAUGGGAAGAUGUAUGUCCAUCAAGAAAGAUACAAGAUUUGAAGGGUUGAAAAGUUUGGUAGCAGAUGUUUUGGGUGUGAAGUCAGCUGAGCAUCGAUUGGCUUUAAGCUUCUGGUAUCCAGCGGAAACAACUGCCUUCACGCAAGUAAAGAUGCCUCCUAUCUCAAUAACAAAUGAAGUGGAAUUGGGGUUGUUUAAGAUGAAGCAUCGAGAGUACGGUGGACUUUAUUUGUACGCAACUCUGAUGGGAGAAGGUGAAGAAGGGAUAUUGGCUACCAACCCAAUGGGAGAAGGUGACGAAGGAAGGUCUCAAGAAGGAAUAGAUGGGCAGCACGAUCAACAUAUAGCUAAUCCAGAUGGUGGACAUUUGGCAAUGGGGGGAGCAUGUGGUGGACAUUUGGGAAUUGCAGAAGCAGACAAUAUAAUGUCCAGCAAAGAUGAUGUAGAUGAGCAGAUGUGUACUCUAGAAGAUGAAGUUUUGUUGGAUCAUCUAGCCACCGUGGAGGCCAUUCACAAGGCACAAACUGACGUUGGCGAAAGGGGUAAGGAACAUAAAAGAAUAAGAGAGGAGGAGGUGGAGGAACAAGAUGCAGUGGACAUGUUGGGGGACCUAUUUGAUGAAGCGAAUGAUCCAUCAAGACAAACAUCUCUUGGUUCGGGAGAGGAAUCAGAUUAUGAUUUUGACGAGUGGACAGACCGGAUAAACAAAGAAUACCCGCCUGAUUGGGAUCCUUAUGUUAAUAUGGCAGUUUUCAACAGUGACGAAUGUCCUCUGUCCACGUACAUGCACUUGCUGAAGACAACAAAUCCAGGAACAAUAACGGACAUGCACACCUCGAUGGACAAAGAUGCGAAUGUACUUUUCAAGUAUAUGUUCUUCGCUUUCGGUGCAUCGAUAUCUGGAUAUAAAUAUCUACGGAAGGUGAUAGUAAUUGAUGGGACGGCCAUGAAGGGGAAGUACAAAGGGUGUCUAGUUGCUGCUAGUGGACAAGAUGGAAAUAUGCAAAUCUAUCCAUUAGCUUUUGGGGUGGUAGAUGGAGAGAACACAGAUGGGUGGGUGUGGUUCUUCAAGAACCUGAAAAAAUUUGUCCCCGACGAAGAAGAUCUUGUCUUUGUGUCUGAUAGACACGCAUCCAUCUAUGCUGGUCUACGGGAAGUUUAUCCUAUAGCACACCAUGGAUCGUGUACUGUGCAUCUUUUCAGGAAUGUGAAGCAUAAUUUCGGGUGUGCUGGCUUGGCAGCAGUUGUUAGCAAGGCGGCAAGGGCGUAUACGGUAGGAGAUUUCCGUGUAUGGUGGGCUGAAAUAGAGGAACGUGAACCAGAGUGUGCGACUUAUCUUAAGGAAAUAGGAUUACCACAUUGGACAUUAUCUCAUUUUCCAGGCGAGUUACAACCUGAUGAGUAGCAAUAUAUCAGAGGCUUUGAAUGCGGCAAUGCAAAAAGCGAUAGAUUAUCCGAUUGUCUCGAUGGUCGAAUUCAUACGGGCAAUGUUGAUGAGGUGGUUUCACUUAAGGAGGAUAAAAGCAGCAAAAACGAGAACUAGAUGUACACCAGAAAUUGAGGCAAUUCUAAUAGACCAUUUGAAGGAUGCCGUAAACUGUGCAGUGUUGUCCGCAAGUGAUUGGGUAUACCAAGUAAACGAUGCUGCAGGGUGUGGUUUCAUCGUGGACCUCGAGAAUAAAACAUGCACUUGCCGCGUUUUUGAUGUAUUGAAGGUACCUUGCUGUCACGCAUUAGCUGCUAGGGGAGUGAGACAGCUAGAUAUAUACAGCUUUGUGGAUCUGAGUUACUUUGUGGAGCCAUGGCGAAAAAAGUAUGAGAAACUCAUUAUGCCGGUGCCUAAGGAGAAGGAUACGGACAUCCCAGCUGUAGUUCAAGAAGUACCUAUUAAUCCGCCUAAGGAAAAACGCGGUGGGGGUAGACCAAAGAAGAGAAGAAUCCCGUCACAAGGGGAGAAACGUCGGGUAAGUAUAAAUGAUUGUGUGGACUAUAACUAGAUUGCGGUGUAUGCUUGGGAUGCUUCUAAUCCACUUUUGGUUACGUCUGUCAAUAAGGUGAGGAAAAGGACAACUCCAUCCAGAUGUGGAAGGUGUAAUGGGGUGGGACACAAUAGGAAGACUUGUUCCAACCUUAUAUGAAGUAGACAAUUUUUCUGCAGGUUCAACGUGUGAUGGCAGACAAAUUAUCUAGUUUUUAGAGGUUUUUGGAUAUUUUGCAGGUUUUUGGAGGAUGAUGGUUUAAUGAUGGUAUAAUUUUUUGUACAAUUCAGAAGGUCUGAUCUGUGGACUAUAAUCGGGGUGUAAUGUCUGUUAUCUAAUUUUGGAUUUGUAAAAUGUGAUUAGUGGACCAGAAUUGGGAAUUUAACUGGUCCACCACAUAUAAUCGGGGUAUGUAUUUUGCGGAGUCUUGUAGAAGUGUUUUGGUCCACAAGUGUAAGGAGUUUGUCGUUUAUGAACAAGCAUUAAACUUGCGGUUGUGUGAUUGUUGUGGCAGUAGUGGGGAAAAAAUACACGUGCGUUGGAUAAUUAGUAUUAGUUAAUCGUAGACAUACUAUAGUUCAAUGGACAAAUCCUCUACGUGGACAUACAUAGAUUGCACUACAUACUACGCUCCAUACUUUCCCAAAGCCAUCCUGAGAGAGACAAUACAGUAUACGUGUGCCCUCAAAUGAGAGGGAAUGAUAAAAAUGUGUGUAAUGGGGAGAUAUAUUUGCACUGACCUGUAAAUUUGGAUGGUCCAGAACUCUUAACUGUUGAAGCGGAAUCUGCAUCACGUUCAAUAUAUAUAUAAGCAAACAACAAUUUACUGCAAGUACAAGACACAUGUCAAGAAGAUCCUUUCUAAGUUAAAUUGGAUUUACCUUGAGCACUGCACACGCCUGAUGCAGCUCAUCUUUCCGAAUGUUUCCCAUACCAUCAGCGUUACCUGCAGCAUAAAAUAAUUCAUCUAGUGUUCAAAAUGAAUUCCAAACUGCAUCUUAGUAAGCAUCCCACUAAGAAAAAUCCACAGUUCGACAACUUUCAAAAGGAAACUAAUACAACAACCAGAAAAAAGUAUGAAAAAGGCAUAUUACCAGUAGACAAGCAUAAUAUGUGAAGAUUGUAUGCAUUGGAAGUGAGGUAGUUUAUCGCUGGAGAAAAGAACCUGUCAAAGACUCAUCUCUCAGCAAAACAAUCUUUGACAAAUCGAUCAAUCAAUAUCCGGAGAGACGCAUUAUCAAAAAUAUCUAACAUUGACUCAUCAUCAGGAUGUGCAAAAACGAACAUAACAUUUUUCUUGUCAGGGGUAUUACUACCUGAAAUCAAGUACAAUAAGAUAAAUCAAAAUUCUGAAAAGAAACAAGUCUUAACCGGUAAAAAAAAUUGUCUUUCCGGCUACUUGCCAUCACCGAUAAUAGCAGCUUUGGAGUUAGAUGUUCCUCCGAAGAAAAUUUUGCAUAAAGAAGCCACCCAGAUAACAAUCAGAGAAAGAGAUACCACAAGCCAUGCCAUCUGAAGAUUUUGAGCAGAUCAGAGACUUUUUCAAUUUAAAGAAUGAACAGAGCCGUGAAGAGAAGAACACUUCCGUCGAUGACUAUGAUCUUUUAUUCUCCGGUACUAAUGCUCUGAGUUCUCUGCCACCGAUGAUCAUCAGUAGGGAUCCGAACCUUUCCCGGCCACGGCUGGGUUUUUUUUUUCCGAUUUCACUUUUUUUUUGUGUACCUGUUUCCGUUUUGUAAAGCCCAUGGGCUUUUUAUGGGUUUUGGCCCUCUUAAUAUGUUUUUGAGAUUGGUGAUUGCGUUUAAGUGCCAAAGCCAGAUUCUUGUAAAAGAGAAAAUGAUGAGUUCGUCACGAGUAGUUAAAGCUAAAACUAUACUUUACGAUAUCUCUAAUUGUAUCAAUUAGGAAGGGAUUAUUAUUGUCUAUACCACAUUUAGAUAGGAAAAAAUCAGAAAUGCCAGUUUCGAUUGUGGCUUAUUAGGAGUGCCACAUUGGAUGAAAAGGGGAGGGACAAAUUGACAAAACUACCCCCUGGGCAGAGAGAGUGUGAUUUCGCGGGUUGCUUCAAAAAUAGAGACCGAUGGGACAACGUUCGGCAGAAAAGAGAGCAUUAAAUGAAGAGGGUGGCAUCUAUUAUCCAGAGGACAACGAUUAACAAAUAAAAACUUUGGAUUCAUUUUAAACAAAUGUUCUGAAUCAAGAAAAAAAAACUCUUAAUUCCAAAAUCACAAUGACACAUGAAUAAAUUGCUUAAAGUAAAGAAACAAUAAAUCUAAUCAGAGAUGGAUUGAUCAAUUGUAAAAAAACCGAAAACACAAAAACAAAAACAAAUCCAAAACCAAAACCAAUACCAAGAACGAAAACAAAACAGUAAAGAUAGAAAUAUACC
rnacentral:lncRNA from 1 species